CCUGGCUCAGAACGAACGCUGGCGGCAUGCCUAACACAUGCAAGUCGAACGAGACCUUCGGGUCUAGUGGCGCACGGGUGCGUAACGCGUGGGAAUCUGCCCUUUGCUUCGGAAUAACAGUUAGAAAUGACUGCUAAUACCGGAUGGAUGUUCGCAAGACCAAAGAUUUAUCGGCAAAAGGGAUGAGCCCCCGUAAGGAUUAGGUUAGUUGGUGGGGGUAAAAGGCCUUCCAAAGCCGACCGAUCCUUUAGCUGGUCUUGAGAGGAUGAUUCAAGCCACACCUGGGACUGAGACACCGGCCCCAGACUCCUACCGGGAAGGCAGCAGUGGGGGAAUAUUGGACAAAUGGGCGAAAAGCCUUGAUUCCAGCAAUGCCCGCGUGAGUGAUGAAGGCCUUAAGGGUUGUAAAGCUCUUUAUCCAGGGGAUGAUAAUGACCAGUACCUGGAGAAUAAAGCUCCCGGCUAACUCCGUGCCAGCAGCCGCGGUAAUACGGAGGGAGCUAGCGUUGUUCGGAAUUACUGGGCGUAAAGCGCACGUAGGCGGUACAUCAAGUCAGGGGUGAAAGCCCGGAGCUCAACUCCCGGAACUGCCCUUGAAACUAGUGUACUAGAAUCUUGGAGAGGCGGGUGGAAAUUCCGAGUGUAGAGGUGAAAUUCGUAGAUAUUCGGAAGAACCACCAGUGGCGAAGGCGGCCCGCUGGACAAGUAUUGACGCUGAGGUGCGAAAGCAUGGGGAGCAAACAGGAUUAGAUACCCUGGUAGUCCACGCCGUAAACGAUGAUAACUAGCUGUCCGGGCACAUGGUGCUUGGGUGGCGCAGCUAACGCAUUAAGUUAUCCGCCUGGGGAGUACGGUCGCAAGAUUAAAACUCAAAGGAAUUGACGGGGGCCUGCACAAGCGGUGGAGCAUGUGGUUUAAUUCGAAGCAACGCGCAGAACCUUACCAGCGUUUGACAUCCUCAUCGCGAUCCAGAGAUGCUUCAGUCGCUGAUGAGACAGCC
rnacentral:rRNA from 1 species